CUCGGUCAACAUUCCGGAACUCUCUGAGACAAGACCACUAUGUAAAAGGGGGGAAGAUCCCCCUCUAAAUCUCUCCUUUCCAAAUGGGCUGAAAAAAGAAACUGAGUUUGAGUAUUGAAUUAAUGGAUGUUUAUGACCAGCAGAUUCGAGUAGAUUCUGAUGUACAGCUAAUGUGUGCCACUUACCCACCCAGCAAGUGGCAUUAGUGCAGUGCUCCUCCAUUUCCCAGCAGUGCACACGAACCCUCGGUUGCCCAGAACUCAGUGCUUCUGGAGGCUUGCUCAACUGAGGCACACUUUGCACCUGAAGCUGAAUCGGGCCCCGAUUGGCUCUACUUCUGCUUAUCUCUCCGGGUUGCUCCACACCCUCUGCCCGCCGGCGCUGGUCACAUGCUUGUCCUGCUCGACUGGCCUGGACCACACCCCGUCCUACAUACCUGCUCCUCACCUGCACUGUACCGAGUGACACUUUCCACCUGAGAGCAGACUUCCUACUCACACCAUCGCCACUAAAUCUCUGCAAAAUAAAAGCAAGAGCAUCCGGUGAAUACGAAAUCAGCCGUCUAGGCCCACGCGGUGUCUGCGGAGCUUCAGUGGGUGCUCCACACCCAUGGACAACAUAACAAAAAGGAGAGCCAGAACAAAGCCCGACAAUUACAGUAAGAAAGAAUUCAUCGCUGUGGGGCAAGGUGGACAGCACAGAGCCACGCUCAUCUUACACGGCUCUCACACAGACUGGCAAAAGGCAUCCAGCCCAUCAGGAGCCUCUGAGAGGAAACAGGAUGGGGAAUUCCAAACAAAGAGACAGACAACGAGUUGCUGGCCGCUCCAUUAUGGCCUUGUUUGCUCCUUGUAUGCAGGAUCAUCCAUACAAUAAAAGCGAAAUUAAAAGUUCUCAGAUGUGCGGCACUGUUGGCACAUGCUGCUAGCGUACGCAUAUUCUCUCCGCCCCCGGAUGGAUUGAAGAUACCACCUUCACUUGGGAGUGAAGGCCAGAGAGGAGAAAACGUGAGGGGAUGCCUUCUGCCUAUCGGUGAGGUGCAGUUGUUUUCAAUAGCAUUAGCUGCUGUUGUACAAUGCAUUUUAAAUGUUUAAACUGCUAUAUAUGUGUCACAAAAUGGGGUAAACACUUGAAUAUCAUUUACAAACAACAAUAACAACAACAAAAAGAUUUAUCCUCAUGAUGUUCCAAAACCAAAUGCCAUUCUUUCUUCUGUGAAACACACAAAA
ensembl:lncRNA